rnacentral:rRNA from 1 species
AAGCAUAUAAUUAAGCGGAGGAAAAGAAACUAACCAGGAUUCCCUCAGUAAGGGCGACUGAAGCGGGAAGAGCUCAGGAUGUUAAUCAGCGCCAGGGCCUUUGUGUGAUCAUGAAAGUGAGAACAGGAAGGUCCGUAAAGUUGCGCCGAAUUGUGGUCUGAAGACAGUGACGUUACCAGCCGGGCCAAGUCCCUUGGAACAGGGCAGCUGAGAGGGUGAGACUCCCGUUCGCCCGGUAGGAUAAGUCGCUAGUCAACGAGUCGAGUUGUUUGGGAUUGCAGCUCAAAGCGGGUGGUAAAUUCCAUCUAAAGCUAAAUAUUGGUGGGAGACCGAUAGCGUACAAGUACCGUGAGGGAAAGAUGCAAAGAACUUUGAAAAGAGAGUUAAAGAGUACCUGAAAUUGCUGAAAGGGAAGCGAAGGAAACCAGUGUUAGCGUGGUCAUAUUUCCCUGUCCGCUUGCGGAUUGGGCGCUGUGAUCUGCUUUGGUUGUCCUUGGUUGGGAUCCGUGGAAGGGCGCAGUGAGAGUUGAUCUCUGUUGCCAGCACGGGUCUUGACUGAGGAGGACGAAAUGGUUUUCUUUACCCCGUCUUG